UACGUAGGGUGCAAGCGUUGUCCGGAAUUAUUGGGCGUAAAGAGCUCGUAGGCGGUCUGUCGCGUCGGCUGUGGAAACCCGAGGCUCAACCUCGGGCCUGCAGUCGAUACGGGCAAACUGGAGUGUUGCAGGGGAGACUGGAAUUCCUGGUGUAGCGGUGAAAUGCGUAGAGAUCAGGAAGAACAUCCGUGGCGCAAGCGCCUAUCUGGCCAUGACCUGACGCUGAGGCACGAAAGCGUGGGGAGCGAACCGG
rnacentral:rRNA from 1 species